rnacentral:rRNA from 1 species
AUGUACUUCCAGACGAAUGGUUCUACUGAGAAAAUACCUCAUGGUUGCUUUGCAUUUGGUACAUGUGACUGCAUUGCCUUCGGCCAGACUUUGAAAAACGAUCCUACACCAAGUAGCAACAAUAUUGCAGUUUGUUUAAAAGUUGGGACAAAAAGUUCAGCCAGGCACCACGCGCCAAGGCGCGUUUCCGAUCUAGUGAUCUUGAAUACCUGGAAAAAGAAUGUGGCAAGUGUUUAUGCUCUGAAUCAUAUGUACCAGUGCGUCUUCUUUAACAAGAACAGGCUGAUAGAGAGAUUUUCACACCUAGGAAAUUAUUAUCAAGGAAAACAAGAUAAGUAA